UUUUUUCCUUUUUGUUUCCUUUUCUUUUCAAUGUAUGAUAUUAUGUCCACUUCUUCAACUACGGGAGAUAUAUGCCCAUUUGAGUCAAUAGAUAAGAUGGUCAACAAUUUCCUUUUAUACUUGCCGUAGAGAUGAGUACCAUCUAUUUGAAUGAAUGACCUACAAUAUUUGAAAGCUUUUCUUAUAGGACUAAAUGAUUAGAUAACUCGACCAAAAAUAUUCUUUGCUGGCGCCUUAUAUGGAAUAAAAUGCCGAUCCACUAGUGUUCUAGGAUUAUAGUGCACAAUAUUAAACCAUCAAUUCGCCCAAAAGUUUAAGCUAGUGGUUGAUGACAAAUUUAAUUAUAUAUCACUAACACACAACAACACUCAACCAAUACAGAAGUUUUGCAUAUGAUUUCUCUCCAUCACCAAAAUCUUUAAUAAAUGCUUUUCGCUUUGCGUGCCACACGUCUAUAAAUAACAUUACAUCGUAUUUUUUUAAAUCACUUCUAGAAUCAACUCUAACCAUAUUUUGAAUUUCAGUACUCAUAAAGUUUGAAUUAAGUUGCGAAUGAUCUUGUGACAAUUAUGAGUACAAAUAUAAGUGCUCUCCUUCAAGUUUAGUAAUUAUAACGUCCCAUGGGUUUUAUGGUGACAAGCACAUAAUCUCUAAUCACAACUUUCCUAUUGUUUGCAUUUUACAUAUCAAGAUGUAUAUCUUGGUUCAAUUCUAUCACGAAAAUGUUCUUCUGCAAUAUUUUUAGAGCCAUUUGUAGGUCUUCUUUGGUGUUGAAUAACACUCUUUUUUGUAUGAGACUAGAGUUCUCUAGACCUCUUUCAUUUUCCUCCAAUAUUGAUCCUUGUUCACAAAUUAUAUUAUUAGUUCCCCAAUCUAUUUGUGUGAAUAUUAGUGGAGGUACUAACUCAUUUUCAUUUUCUGCAUUCGAUUUCUUCCCCAAUAAUUCAUCAAUUUCUACCUCAAUAUCACUUUUCAUGCCAUUUUCAGGUUGAAGAAUGACCAAAUUUUUGGGACACAAUGGCAUAUUUAACCAAUUUGUUUACAACUGUUAAAGUUAAAUAAUAUACAUUCCAAAUUUAAGUCCAAACAAAUCGCCCUUGAUCAAUCCAAACUAAUAAUUUAGUGAACAAAAUAACAAUCCUAAUUUCAAGUCCAAACUCAAAUGAUCCAAAAACCAAAAAUAGUCUAAAUUUCAAGUCCAAACUCAACAGUCCAAAUUUUAAACAAAACAAUCCAAAUAUAUACACUAGAUCUACAAAUUUAGAUCUAUUUAUGCACAUAUUUGAAAAAAAAAACUCUAGAUCUAAGGAUAUUGACCACAAUAUCAUAUAUUGAAAAGAAAAGAAAAUGAGAAAAAGAGGAAAAGAUUAUCGACAAUUCGUUACAUAGCAGAGGUAGGGGACCGGACGAUGGAUGGUAGUUGAAGAGGAGAGAAGUGUGCAGAUUUUAGGAGAAGAGGCAAAGAGGAGUGAUCGGACCACGAAGUCUGGACCCGGUCCACGAGUUAAACAAUCAUGAGCUGUGAUACCCUGAGUUUAGAAGGGGGACAUGAAUGAAUCGAUAUCACAUCUGAAUGAGAGGGAUCCUGAGGUCAUGAAAGUAAGGUUAAGAAAAACUUAAAAGAAUUAUAAGUUACUACUCAUAUCAAUAAGACGUACCUUCCUUUUCGGUGACCCAAUCAUAGAAACUUCAAAGUUAAGCGUGUUAGGUUGACAUAGUGAUUGAUUACGCUAUAAAUUAAGAAAGAAAGAAAGAAAGCCUUUGCUACAAUAUCUCUGAAUCUUAGCUCCAGCUGAGUUGACAUAGUGGCCAGGUCAGCAUGGGUGACUGGAGAAGCGAGGUUGGCAGCUUGUAUAGCAGGCUGACUUUCUGACCACUCCUUCGUGCAUCUCUACGUGGCGACAUUUUUUCUAAAUUCUACCACAAAAAAUCCUUCACAGAUAAGUCUUAACAUUCAUGUAAUUCUAGUUUAAUACAUGCAAAGUCAUGUGCAUAAUCAUAGUCAUAAACAUACCUAGCGAUUGACGAAGGACUGUAUAGCCAUAGGGACAAAAACCAAAGACUCACAUCGUAAGUCAGUUUAUAGAACCUCAAAACUUAGGCUCUGAUAGCAACUGAAAUGACCUAGGCUCAGGAUUCGGAAUUCAGAUCCCUGACAUUCCCCUGCAUCCCUUGCGACUUGGCAACAUCAUCCUUGUUUAAAGACUUGUGAGAGUGAAAGUUGUCCCUACAAACUAAGACGAAUCCUUUCAGCAUGCUUUAUUCUUACUCACAUGCAUCCUAGGAAAAUUCCCAGAAAGUCAUCCAACAUAUGAUUGUUUCAAACUAAACACACUUAAUUUUGGAGUUUCUAUGAUCGAGCCAUCGAAAAGGAAGGUGUACCUUAUUGGUACAGGCAUUACAUGGAUUCUAACAAUCAAUGCUGAAUGUCAGAGGGUGGGAGGUCAGCUGGGAAUAUGGCAGUGAUGUGGAGGCAACUUGUGGACCGGGCCCUUGAUUUUGCUACCCUAGUUUUGUCAUUUCUUUGCUCUCUCUAUUUUUGUCAAUAAAUAUUCAAACAUCAUUUUUAAAUAAAACGUAUAAAGUAUUGGAUUAGAAGCCA